GGUGGAGGCGGAAGUGACUGAUCAAUUCAGGGGUGUGGGGUUCGUUUAGGUUUUGCCCUGUGUAUGACCUCUUUUGGAGCCAUGAAACCAGCCUCAAGCUUUAUUCUAGGGAGGUGGCUUUUCUACAAUAUAAAGAUGGAAAUGGGAUGAAGAUGUUCAUUGCAAAUUAGGAAAGCUCUUCCACAAGUUCACCAAUGGAAAUAACAUCAAGAGUUUUUCAUCGUCUUAGUGUGCAAGAUAAAUAUCAAGGAGUGCAAUUCCUGGAUUUAUGAUGUCUGAGGAAUAGUCUUAGUGGAUUAUCCCAAACUUGACACAUUUUUUGCAAAAUGCUAUACAAAAAGAAGAUACAUGUGAUUAUGACAAGAUUCUCCACUUGGUGUGACCGGUCUCAUACAACCCAAGGCUGUGUGUCCAAACGCAAUUGCACUGAUCUUGACAAUAAUCAAAAUGUAGCCAGGUGCAUUGG
rnacentral:lncRNA from 1 species